UAUGUAGGGUGCAAGCGUUGUCCGGAAUUAUUGGGCGUAAAGAGCUCGUAGGCGGUUUGUUGCGUCGGCUGUGAAAUCCCGAGGCUCAACCUCGGGUCUGCAGUCGAUACGAGCAAACUAGAGUGUUGCAGGGGAGACUGGAAUUCCUGGUGUAGCGGUGAAAUGCGCAGAUAUCAGGAGGAACGCCGGUGGCGAAGGCGGGUCUCUGGGCAACAACUGACGCUGAGGAGCGAAAGCGUGGGGAGCGAACAGG
rnacentral:rRNA from 1 species